rnacentral:rRNA from 1 species
CCUACGGGACGCAGCAGUGGGGGAUAUUGCACAAUGGGGGAAACCCUGAUGCAGCAACGCCGCGUGAGUGAUGACGGCCUUCGGUUUGUAAAGCUCUGUCUUCAGGGACGAAAAUGACGGUACCUGACUAGGAAGCCACGGCUAACUACGUGCCAGCAGCCGCGGUAAUACGUAGGUGGCGAGCGUUGUCCGGAUUUACUGGGCGUAAAGGGAGCGAAGGCGGACUUUUAAGUCAGAUGUGAAAUAC